rnacentral:lncRNA from 1 species
GCGGAAAACUUGGGAGGCUCCGAAAAGGAGGCUGACAGCGAAAUGAAGGAGGGAGAUGAAGAUAGGAUCAGCUCGAAAAGCACAUAUUCAAUCGCUACAACGGAAGGAACUGAUGAUGUAGAGACAUCGACUGCCUCAAGUGAAUACAGUUCGAGUAUCGGGCGAUUAUUGGAUGAAAAGCCGCUAAUACGUCGCACAAAUGUAGAUGUUAUAACGGUUUCGUCAUGCUCCUAACCUUGCGAGGGUUCAAAAAGAGGGGACUAAAAAAAUCUUCACGAGUGAAAAUACCUGAUGAUACCACCAGGCAAGUUUCAAUACUACCACCGACAACAAAAGAUCGAUGCAAGGCUGUUUCUGAGCGAAUUUUGGCAUCGGCUUUGUUUUCUCAAGAUAACAGAACCUUCAAUAACCCCAUUAGUUACUUAGGAGGUCCCGUUACUGGGCAAUCGGCACAUUCGUACGAGAGAAGCACUAGCAAAGAAUCAAUGAUAUCGUUGGAUUAGCAACAAAAUAGUCGAUAAUGAACUCGUACCUUAUCUCUUUCUCGAAUAAGAUCCCCUCUUUCCCUCAUAGAUCACUGACACACUGGCCAUGACUGUAAAUAAAUGCUCAAAAUAUAAAAAUUCCAACACAUGACGUGACCCCUGAAUUGCGUGAUUAUUUUCUACCAUACCCAUUGAUUGACACAUGACUAGUAAGAGAAUAAAAUAUGAAUAUUUUUGACCAAAACUAAAAUUUGCUAACUAUCACCGAUCCAAAAUAGUCGCACGAAGAAGUUGACAUUUACAAAACAUUGAUGACUGUCAUUUGAAAAUGGCGAUAGAGCCUUGCAAACCAAGCAAAAACUUUGCAUUUUUAUGGUUCAUCUUAAUGAUGUAUCACAAAGCGGGUUUUCCAUUAGAAAAGGAGGUUCCAUUAAAAAGGUUUGUUCUUCCCUCAGGCUGGUCUUCCAAAAUUAUGAGAAAUCCCAAAAGCAGAUUAAUUCAACGUAUGGGCACUCCAAAAAUGUAAAACCUUUAUGCUAUUAUUUUCAUAAGUUAGAGGAGAAGUGCAGGACUUUUUGAUUACCCUGUAUGAGUGAUAGCGUUCAAUAGCUUAACUCGACCCCAACCCUUAUGCAUACUUUAUCCAUAAAAAAUAAAAAGGUGAUCUUAUUAGAGGAUUCAUAGAAAAGUAACACGUCGAAUUCAAAUAAAAAUAACGUUUUAUUGAAUAGAUAUUCUGCAUUUUAUUUCAUCUUAAAAAGAAACAAAGAAGCCGGAUGCGUAUUAAGAAUAAACGAUGAGCCUCUCUUUGUGAACAACGUAAGAAUCGAACAACUAUGUUACAAUUUUUGUUGUUGUUUUGUAUUUCCGCAAAGUGCCCAAGAAUAUAAUUCAUAUAAAAGUAACAGAACGGAGGCGUCUGCAUGUUAGCAUUAAAAAUUGAGAAUAACCGGAGAAAUAUAUCUACCUUCAUGUUUUUGUAGUUAAACAUCCAUCAUCAUACAUAGUUCCUCUAAAUUGACGGCUAAGGUAGAAAAGGGUGUAAUUAUCUAAAAAAUUGGUCGUUUAAAGUUAGCAAUGCUAUCAUAAAAAAGAGGUCACCAUGGAUCGUCUGACACAACUUUCGACCAGGUUGACUUAAUGAACAAAUCAAAGGUAAACAACUGCCAACUUAUGUGGUGAAAAAUCCAGGGCAAAGUUUCGUAAAAACAGUCUAUAAACACCACCAGCGGUUUCAUCAACAUACACUCAUAAUUAAAGAAAAGCUGCAUCAACAGCUGCAAAAUGCAAAGUCGCCACGAAGCCUCAGGAUUGUCCACCGAGUCAUGGGCGAUAAAAAGAAGUAAAACCUAAACAUUUCGAUUCAUUUCUCUAAAAAAUUCAAAUUUCUGAACAUUUUAAAUCUUGAAGCUUUUUAAGUAACAUUUUUAAAUCUUUUGACCAAUCAAAUCACAGAAUCAGUAUAAUCUUUAAGCUGAAGGACCUUAGGGACCGUCCCUAUAUUACGCAACGCUAUGGAGGGAUGGGGUGUCGAGAAGCAGGUUGAGCCAUUCGGUUUUUACGUGUUAAAGGAUAGAGAUCUACUUGACAAAAUCGUUACAAGGGGGAGGAAGGGGGAUUAAAAAAGCCGAAAAAGUGCGUGACGUAAUUUAGGGAUGGCCCCUAAAGUGUAGUUUGACAUAAAAAGGAAUUAAUUUCCAUCUUAUGUUGAAAUUUUUCAGAUCUUCCAAAUUUAGUUAUUAUAAGUAACGUAAAAAUAAUCUUUUUCUUUGAGGUGAAAAGCCUCGAUUCGGGUUCCCCUUUACAUUUGAUUUCCGGGAGAAGUCUAAACUAUUGGCAUCGUGGCCUAGAAAAAAUCUAGACCAUUAUAAGACUCCACCUAAUCCCAACUUUCCUUAAUUGAAUAGAGGAAAAAAUCGGACUACCACGAAGAGGAAAACUUCGUGCAUGGGACCCAAAGUUCCGCUCGCGUGCAUCUCUGAGGUUUUGAGGUCGUGCUUCCAAAAACUUGAGGACCAGCUGCCGAAGUUACGGUCACUCAUCUGGGAUACUUCGAUACUUCGGUGGUACUUCGGUUGACACUUUCAUAAAGCCAAUCGAACGUUGAUCGUGUGACCAAAACUCCGGCGGCUGAACUUCAAGUUUCGGAUGCAUGGCCCAAAAACUAUCCAGAGAUCCGCGUGACCUGAGCCGUAUUUUCCACGAGGUUAUUUUUUCUCCGUGUGGUACUGUAGCUGCUUAGCAGUGAAAUCAAUAGAUCCCACUUUACACUAACAGUUGAAAAAAUCUAAAACUGUUCGAUUGCACAUGUUAUGGAGUCAUAUUUUAAAAACACACAACUUUUUACAAAGUAAACUAUGAAAAAUGUCUCAAACUAACUGAAAGUAACAAAAAUAAUUAUAUUAAAACAUCAAAAAUAAGGAUUAACACUAAACCAAGGAAGAAAUUGACAUCAUGAUCACAAAAUGCAAAGGACAGGCAUUUGACAACGGGAAAUCUUUACGUACUCGUUUGCAUCACCAAUUCAUCGAUACAAUUCAACGAAUCCACAAGUGUUAUAUGUAAAUAUUACAUAAAUUACAAGUAUACUCAAAGAUUUGGCAGUGGACCUUAGAUAAAAAGUAGGUAUUACAACUUUUUAUACGCACUUAUAGUUUACUUACGAGUAUAUGGAACUAAAAAAAAAAUACUGUUACAUCGAGUGCUCCUCGGGUCCUCUCCCUGAGUAUCUGUUUUCCAAACGAGAAUACUGGUCAAAAUACGAGUUUUGUGACGGUUUUAAUUUAUUAUUUUUUUUGGAAUUUUAUUUUAUUGAAAAAAGUUCAUUAUUUCACCCUACAUGUGGGCUGGAAGAUAAAAGUACCGUUGGAAGAUUCAUCAAUAUAAAAUAGGGGAUGGAAAAUUUCUCCAUAAAAACUGCACCUGAUGAAUCGUCUUUCUUUCUAUGUUUCCCUGAUAAGAGAG